UUGAAGUUCAUACUAUUACAGAACAACCGGUGAUACAAGGACAAGAUGGAAAUUGCUGACUUAAAUUGUUAAAAAUAAGCCACAAGCAAGAUCUCUCACACCCCAAAAUUAUUCUGUGCAUUUAAUUUUAGCAGGGCUUGCUCCUGAUCAAUCUUUUUGUACUGGAUAAUCCAGUCUUACUAGAUUUUUUUUUUUCAUUUGUGGAAGAAUCUGAAUUUAGAUUUCCAACAGCAACAUUCAACAGUUAAUUCUUCAACCUGCAGUCCCCAACAUCAUUGUCCCAAUGCUCUAAAUACUAUCCAGUUCUCCGGAAUCAUGUAACGGGAGUAUUGGGGUCAAAGGCUAAAGUACAACAAUGAGAAACUGCUGUUUUGCUUUCUUCCUCUGGUGCCAGAGAAUACACUGUUUAGACCACGAAUCCUUUUGAAGGAAUAAAGUCGCAGUGGAAGGGCUAGAAAACAAGAUCUAUUCUAAAAGGAAAUUGCUAAGUACCUGCUAGGCUAAAAACCAAUAAGAUAUACCACACAUCUAUCAAGAAUAUUAGAUAUCUGAUUUCCUCUGCCCCUGGAUGCUACAGCACUUGAACUGUUUGAAUCACGUUAGCAUGUAUGUUAAGGUUGGUGACUGUGACAGAACACCUGAUUAUUCUUCUGGGGAAUCUUUACAAUGAGCAAGAAGCCUCCAUAAAAAUUUAAUCUGGACAAAAACAGAACACUUUAGAAUAUGAAAGGGAGCGAGACAAAGAUGCUUUUUGGCCUUAUAAUCUGCUAAAUCAACUCAGUGAGUAUACAGCAUGAGCGCUAGUAGAGAUGAGAGCUAGUAGGGGUGAGUGUUUCAGCUGGUUAGAUGUCUCUAUGAGUGACUGUGCAAGCAGAGACAGCCAGCAGUGGAAUUGCCAGGGAGGAGAUGGUUGAGGUUGACAAAUUUCUCCAGAGGAAAGAGAAAUUAGGGGAUCACCCACACAAGCUCUGGAAGAACUGCGUCUCUCAAGGAGGCUGCAGGACAUUAGUUUCUUAUGGUCAAUCGUGAGUCAAGUGGUUUGGGAGUUAAGGGAUUUACAAUGUGUCCUAAAUUGCGGGGCAGCCUUUAUAGUCUUUUGACCUUGCAAAUGCCUCACCUUCUUAAUCACUAUACAAUUUAAUUGCUUUACAACAUAAGAGAGAUAUUCCAAAUAGCAUUGAAGAUCAAAGACCCCGUGAGUGCCUUCUUUUUGAAAUUUAAGAAGAGAAAAAAUAAAACCCUGCUAUCUUAGAGGAUUUUAAUUUAAAAAGCAAAACGCUUAACAAGAUUAUGAUAUAAGAAAGUUUUACAUGGACAAGGGGGACAAUGUUUUUUUUAGAAAAAUAAAAUAAUAAAAACCAACAAAUUGGAUCUUUAUGGAAAUAUUGAUGGUUUAUUUUUAAGGAUAGUAAUAAUGGAUGGAUUUUACAAAACAAGAAGAUUAUGAACUUCUUGUUAUGAAGAGUUAUGAAGAGUAAUGUGAACUGGACUGUAUGACUGAAUAUGGAGAGACAAUUAGGACUAAAUUGUUAAAUAUAGGAAGAACAAAACAGAAAAAAGAAGCCUGCCUUUUACUUUUUCUGUAAUAAUUAACAUACUUUUACUUUCUUACCAUGGCAACCACAAGGAAAACUGUCAAAUUGGGAGAAGGACAUGGGGAUCAUUGGAACAACUUACAGAUAAGGCCAUUUUGUCGGAUUUAUUGCAGAAAUUGUUUGAACAAUUUGGUAAAAAGGUAAAAGAAGAAAGAUUUUCUGGAAAAAAGAUCAGAAAAAAGUUAAGAAAACUGAAAAAUCUAUAGGACUUUGGCUACAGAUUUCAAACAAAUUAUUGACAAAGUGGAAGUUUGGGGAAGUAGGAUAGAAGUUAUAAAGAGAAUUGGAGAAGGAUUCAGACAGUUUGGCAUUAUUAGAACAGAGAAAAAAUUGCUUAAGAUUUAGAACAAUUCUAGAAGAACAUGCAGAGCAUAUCAGAGAAAAGAUUGCCAAAUCUCUGUUGAUUUCCUGAAUUGGCAUUGGGACGUUAUACUAAAGUCAAGAAAUAUUAUUUUGCAGAAUGGAAAGAUUCCUGAUAGUUGGAAAGAGAUUAUAACAUUAUCUAAUGAAGGACAAGAAAUUAUCAAGCAAUGUUUUUAUUGGAUAAUGAUUUCAAACUCUUUUGGCUGAAAGACGAAAAAUAAUUUUACAAGAUUUUAUUAAUGAAGAUUAAUGCAGGUUUUUAAUUAAAAGGCAAUUACAAGGUAAUGUUAGAAAUGUUAAUAUUCUGCAAUAGUAGGAGCAACAUAAUGAGAAAUAAUCUGCAUUGAUAGAUGCAGAGAAGGCGUUUGACAAUUUGAAUUGGAUUUAUUUUUUUGUUUAGAAUUCUGGAACAUAUGAACCUUGGAAAUAAUGUUAUUAGGUGGAUAUGGUCAAUUUAUGCUUCUCAAAAAGCAGAAAUAAUUGUUAAUAGAAAACUAAUAAAACAAUGUUAGAUUAAAAAAGGGAUAAGACCAGGAUGUCCGCUGUCUGCAUUUUUGUUCAUUUUGUUCGUGAGGUAUUAAAUAGUCAUAAGACAGAAAAUUAUGGGAGUUAAGAUUUAAAAAGAAUGUGUUCAUUGAAGACAUUUGCAGAUGAUUUUUGAUAAGAUCCACUCAAUGGACUAGAAAUGGAAAAAUUAAGGGGGGUUGGUACAUUAGCAGGUUUCAAGAUUAAUAAUCAGAAGACAGAUGUUGACAAAAAUAUGAAAUUAGAAGAUAAAAUAGAACUGAUGGAGAAAACUGAUUUUAAGAUUUGAGAAAAAAGUAAAAUACUUGGUUAUUACUAUGCUAAAUAUGAAUUGUAUGUUACUUCAAAAUAAUAGUAUUAAGACAUUGUGUGAAAAAGAUAUAUUAAGAUAGAAGAAAGAAGAAAUUACAAUUGUUACUGUUGUAACGAAUUUCUGUGAUAAAAAUGUAUGUUUUGCCUAGAAUUUAUUUCAGGCCAUACUAGUUUUGGCAACUGAUGCAUUAUUUAAACAGUGGCAAAUGUGGGGAAAAAACACAAGUUAAAAUGCAAAGUGUUACAAGAUGCAAAGGAAAGGAGGCUUGGUUUUCCUGAAUUUGAAAUUGUACUCGUUGUUGAUUUGUCUGAAUGAAAGAAUGAAUAUUGCUGAGAAAUACGAUACUUUUACAGUUAAAAGGUCACAGCCUAAAGUUUGGAUGAAACGAACAUUUAUGCAAUGAUAAAGUUAAAAUUUAUGUGGACAGUAAAAAUCAUAUUAUUAGAGAUGUCAUCUUGACAAUAUGGAAUAGAUAUAAACCAAAGUUGUGUCUGAAAAUACCUUUAUGGAUCUCAAUUCAAGAAACAUAUAGUAGAAAAGUAAGGGCUAAUAAAGAUAAACGGUUGAAUUACUGGAACCUAUUUGAAGACAAUCAAAGGGGGAAUUUAAAAUCAAAUCAACAGAACAAUUAUCUGAAAGACUUAAAAUUAAUACAAAGACAUUGUAUGGAGCAAAGUAAGAAUUGGAAAUACAAUUGUGUACUUAUGAUAAACUAAUUACUAAAAUGUACAAUCUGUUGUUGAAAUUUGAAACAGGAAGAACAGGUUGAUCAAUGUAUGAUAAAAGGGAUUAAGAAUUUUGGUUAUAGUAUACAAAUGGAUCAAUAGGAAAAUAAGUGGUUAAAGGGUUUGAAAUUUAUACCAUAUUAUAAUCUCAAAGAGAAAUUUUAUAAAAUGAUAUACUGUUGCUACACGAUAUAAGAGAAAUUUUCUAGUAUGUGUAAAGGUGCUUCAAAUACAUGUUUGAAAUGUGAACAACAUGAAGGGACAUUUUAUCAUUCAUGUUGAGAUACAAUUUUUUUAAAAAAAAUGGAUUCAAAUAUAUACCUUGAUAUAGAAGAUUUUAAAGAUAAAGAUUCAAUUAAAACCAGAACUUUUCCUUUUAGGACUAAUGGAUAAACAGAUAGAAAAAAGCCAUGGAAGAUUAUUUCAAUCUAUGAUUAUGAAAGCAAGAUUACUAUAUACAUAAAGAUGGAAAGAUUCAACACUACCCAUUCUAGAUAAAUGCUUGGUGGAAUUGUCAGAUUUUACUGACAUGGAUGAAUUGACAUCUUUGAUUAUAUAAAAGUUAUUAUCUAUAUUUAUUGUUGAUUGGAAGCUCCUUACUGAAAAUAAAUGGAUUUGUGAUCUGUG